GAUGAACGCUGGCGGCGUGCCUAAUACAUGCAAGUCGAGCGAACAGACGAGGAGCUUGCUCCUCUGACGUUAGCGGCGGACGGGUGAGUAACACGUGGAUAACCUACCUAUAAGACUGGGAUAACUUCGGGAAACCGGAGCUAAUGCCGGAUAAUAUAUUGAACCGCAUGGUUCAAUAGUGAAAGACGGUUUUGCUGUCACUUAUAGAUGGAUCCGCGCCGCAUUAGCUAGUUGGUAAGGUAACGGCUUACCAAGGCAACGAUGCGUAGCCGACCUGAGAGGGUGAUCGGCCACACUGGAACUGAGACACGGUCCAGACUCCUACGGGAGGCAGCAGUAGGGAAUCUUCCGCAAUGGGCGAAAGCCUGACGGAGCAACGCCGCGUGAGUGAUGAAGGUCUUUGGAUCGUAAAACUCUGUUAUUAGGGAAGAACAAAUGUGUAAGUAACUAUGCACGUCUUGACGGUACCUAAUCAGAAAGCCACGGCUAACUACGUG
rnacentral:rRNA from 1 species